AAGAGUAGGAGUCAUUGCCAUGGGAAAGCAGUAGGCCUCGGUGUGAGGGCAACGCAGUGUCCACUGGGGUUGGCUGCGCACCUAUUAAAAGUUGGGCAAGAUGGCUGCUUGGAUUCCUGGUGAGACGUCAGAGCAGCAGAAAUGCAAGAACAUCUGCAGAGUGGCAUGUCAUAUCAAGUCUCAGGGGGAGGUCUCUGGAGGAACCUGUCCAUUCAGCACCUGGACUGAGUCAAGGCUCUGGCCCACAGAAGGUUGAAGAUCAGCUAUUUCCACUACCCGCCAGUGACAUGCCCUUCGGGAGCACAUGCUCCCCGACAUAGAAAAGGAGACGGCAGCUGAGACAGAGCCAGCACCUGACUCCACUUUCCAAAAUGAAGCAGGGUGAAGCUCUGCUGUUACGCUGUUCUUCGGUGAGUGACGGUCUCAGAAGUCAUCAGCGCCACGCGGGGCCAAGGAGGGAAAACCUCAGGGCAUCCUGCUUUCCGGAAAAUCCCAUUCCAAGUUGUGUUUAAUGAUGGUGAAGGGACAGAAAGACUGAAUGAAGAUCAAGGUCAGUGACAAAAGAGCUUUGGGUAAAUCUGGACUCAGAAAAAUCCACAGCCUCAACCCUAAAGAGAAGAAGGUAGUGACAGUCCCAGGUGAUCAAUGUACGCACACUAAACCCCAACCACAAAAAAGCCUGGAUACAGCCAUACAGCGAAGGUAGCCCAGGCCAAAUAAAUUCUGAAACAAACAAACAAAAACAUGCUAACAACCAAAAGAGAAAGUAACCCAGAAUCCAAAGAAGUCAAAAAGUAUGCUUGGGCAUAAGGCUGAACCCGAUGAAACCUGAGAGAGAAUAAAGCCAGAACUUCAAUAAGCAUUGGCUUUACCUUCACCCAAAGAGGUCUAGGCUGAAACUAAGAAUAAAAGUUUGUAUAGGCAAAAACAUGAACUGAAAGAGGACUGAGCCAAAACCUGACCCUGAAUUGAGAAGAGAAAUAUGAAAUGAAAGACUCCCAGCCAAAGCAAGAAAAGGAGAAUGCCCAGGCCUAACCCUUACCAUAACUGAAGUUGGGGCCUGAACCAAGAAGAGAGGUUGGCCCAAGUCCAGCCCUGCCAUUCCAGAAGCCCAGGCACAAACAAAGAAGAGAUGUGGGCCUGGGCUGUUUCUUCAAGUGAAGGAAGCCUGGGCCAAAGCAGGAAAGGAGUGUGCUCAGGCCUGACCCCUUUCCUGGCUGAAACCAGGGUCCAUACCAAGAAGAGAAAUGGUCCAGGCCCAUAUGUGACCCUGAAGAAACAAUGGUCCCCAAAAUGAGAAGCUGGCUCAGGCCAAUGCCUCAAAUGAAAGUGAAAUGCCUUGGGUAACCCUCACCAUAAAUAAGCCUGGGCUCAAACCAAGAAGACAGGUGAGUCUGGCCUAGUCCUUCAAAUGAAAGAUGCCAAGACAAAACCAAGGAAAUAUGAAUGCCUGGCCCUAAUCCUUGUCCUGAAGGAACCUGGGCACAAACCAAGAAAAUGAUUGGGCCUUGGGCAAUUACUGUCUCUGCAGAAGUAAUAGCAGAGACAUUGCUUAGAGAAGAGACUAGGCAAAAUCAAAAGUGAAAAUGUUACUGAGCCAACCACUGAGCUUGCUGAAGAUAGGCUCUGUCUUAGGGUUUCUAUUGCUGAGAAAAGACACCAUGGCCAUGGCAGCUCUUAUAAAGGAAAACAUUUAAUUGAGGUGGCUCAGUUUCAGGGUUU